GGUACAGUUGGUGACUUGUCGGUGACUUGGUGGUGACUUGUGGUCCUGUUGGUGACUCUUGGUUCUUCAGAUGACAGUUUAUCAGAUGACUUUGGGUUUCAGAUGAAUUGUGGUUCCGAGUUCAAGAUGAAGCUUUGAUCCUGUGUUCCGAGACGCACAGCCUGCCAGUCUUGUCUGCAUCAUUUGCAUCAUAGCAUGUUUAUUUUCAAAAAGAUACGCAAUAAAAAAAAUGAA
rnacentral:lncRNA from 1 species